AGUUUUCGUAAAUGCAUUUCAGAGAAAAGUGAAUUCUGAGAUUUGAAUAAUGCAUCUGACGUGUGGGAUGACGUCACGACGCACGUAUUUUGAUUUUUACCAGUCGUUCAAGACGGACGGAUUCAGUCCCAAGGUACGUUAAAAUAUCUUAAAAUUAAUAUAUUUGAUUAUCGUUUUGACCAUUCUGAAGUUUAUCAGUAGACUAUCAUAUUUCGAAUGCGAAAUGUUGUCAAUAACGCGGUGUCUUACUCGCUAUUAGUGAUAAGCUGCUGUGUAGCUUAGCUUAGCUUAUAGCUAAUGUUAAAGGUUUGAAAGAUAGCACUGUUAGCCUGUUAUAUCAAAGUAGUACACCCGAUUGUUUUGUUAAAUAUAUGUAUUGGUGUGUAUGUAUAUGUUAAUGAAAAAAGGUAGCGUCAGAAAAUCUGUUUUUUAAAUGUAGCGUGAAAGUUAACCAUUUAUUGACUGUUUAGAGGUUGUAAGGCUUUUACCUAACUGUAUUUAGUAUUAAUGAUGCUGCAUUCUUUCCUCAGAAGUUAAAGUUUUUCAAAGACAUUUGUAGGGAGGACUUUGCAGCUAAUGGAGCUGAAGUAUUUUAUGUAAGGAGGAUUUUGCAGCCCAUAUAGAUUUCCUUAGGCUGAACCAAAACCUGCCAGACUAAAGUUGAUUUGGGAGAGAAAGACGUUGAAAACUCAAUCAUCUUGACAUUCUUCAAUGAGUAAUUGUUCAAUUUUUAGGCAAAUACUGUACACUUUGAAUGCUGUGAAUAAAACUAUAUUUUAAAUAUAUUUAAAA